UAUGCGAGUAAGUCCACAAUUAUUUAAGUUAAUGUAAGAAAUUAGGUAACCCUCAUAAAACGUCUAACUCUCAUAGUUAAAUAAAUGGAGUGAUUUUAUAAACGAGGCUCAACUGGUUUCAAAUUUAAUUUCAGAAAUGCUGCAAGUAUCUUAAUACGGGAUGAAUUUGCACAUUUGCGACUGGAAUGUUUGGUAGAAAUAAUUCAGCAAGAUCGCCUUCGUGUCUAGGACGAGAUGGAAGUUUUUGACGCGGUGUAUCGUUGGGGAUCGGAGGAAUGUACUCGACAAAAACUGGACCCUACGGAUACUAAAGAACUGAGAAAAAUCCUUAAAAAGCCACUGCAACAUGUCAGAUUUCCAUUAAUGGAUUCUGCCAAGUUUGCACUUCAUGUCGCGACGAAGAACAUUUUGGACAUGGAGGAGUCCAUGGCUCUACUUAUUUGCUUUCUUGUUCCUCCAGAACAAAGGUAUUAGAUAUAUAUAUAUACACCGUGUUACGAACGAAUCCAGAGCCGGAUUUGAUCGAUCGGAUCACUGUUACAUUUAUAAGUAUGUCCAUACUUAGGACUUUAGUUAUCAUUGUAGUCACAAGAUGGCAAAUUCAUCGUUUGACCCCUAAUUGCAUAAUCUGUCCGUUUAAAUAUUUCUUAACAUGCUAAACCUGACAUGAUCCUCAACAGGCGACAAAAGUUAGAUUAUCACCAGUAUAUUUUCCAAUAGGGGUGCAAUCCCACAGGGUAGGUUUUCGUCGACUCCAAGGGCACAACUUUUGUCAAAGCUAGUUACAGAUAAUGAGGACCCGAACUCCUCAGAUUGAACACCUGAGGAACCAAUAAAUUUUGGAAGCAGCAACUUUGUGGCUCAGCAACAAACAGAAAUUCAUCCAUUGGGAACCUAUUCUCCAAUGUUGAAAACGCAGAAACACCUCCCAACACAACUGACAAAACAAUGGGUUACAUCAAAUUUUAGGAACACUUCAAAUAAAAAUAACUAAAAUUUACUGAAAAUUACUAAAAUUAAAAUAAUGUUAAUUUUU